UACAACUGGCGGUGGCACGAUCUCAUCCAACGCUUGUCCAGAUCUGACGCUCAGUAAGCCACGCGCUGUCCUUCGGUGCGCAGAUCCGGCGACCUCUGCUUCAGAUACGAUGAUUCGCGGCGUUCAGUAUCUCUCUGAACAGCCCAGAUUCGAUUUAGCAGCGGCGAUUUCCGUCGGGCUUCGGCGUAUUUCGGGUGACCCGUGGCGACGUCAUACCUGGCGGCAUCUUAGGGCUGUUCCGACAACCAACGGCGGUCGGCGACUCCACGACAAGACGCACGGCCAGCACGUGUAGACAACACCUCCGGUGGCUGAUUCGUGACGAUUCCUUAAUUCCGGUGACGUUUGGCGGUGACCCACAUCUAGGUGAAGCCUGGAUUGAGUUCUUAUAGAUUGUUUUGACGUCGACCCACUCGUUCGGACUCAAAUCAACAUUACCCAUCAGUUUUUGACAUCGGAACAGCAAGCCUAAGGCCAUUCGAAGUCUAUUUUUGGAGCACGAAUCUCCUCGGCGACUACCCACUCCUAACCUAAAUUGUUUUAGUGUGAGUUAGUAGGAAGUCUUCGACAAGCUUAAGAGCUUUAGGACACUUGGUAUUUGCAGGUAUCGAGCUAGC